AGAGUUUGAUCAUGGCUCAGGACGAACGCUGGCGGCGUGCUUAACACAUGCAAGUCGAACGAUGAUCCAGGAGCUUGCUUCUGGGGAUUAGUGGCGAACGGGUGAGUAACACGUGAGCAAUCUGCCCUUGACUCUGGGAUAAGCGUUGGAAACGACGUCUAAUACCGGAUACGACCAUCCCCGGCAUCGGGAGGUGGUGGAAAGAAUUUCGGUCAAGGAUGAGCUCGCGGCCUAUCAGCUUGUUGGUGAGGUAAUGGCUCACCAAGGCGACGACGGGUAGCCGGCCUGAGAGGGUGACCGGCCACACUGGGACUGAGACACGGCCCAGACUCCUACGGGAGGCAGCAGUGGGGAAUAUUGCACAAUGGGCGCAAGCCUGAUGCAGCAACGCCGCGUGAGGGACGACGGCCUUCGGGUUGUAAACCUCUUUUAGCAGGGAAGAAGCGCAAGUGACGGUACCUGCAGAAAAAGCACCGGCUAACUACGUGCCAGCAGCCGCGGUAAUACGUAGGGUGCAAGCGUUGUCCGGAAUUAUUGGGCGUAAAGAGCUCGUAGGCGGUUUGUCGCGUCUGCUGUGAAAACCCGAGGCUCAACCUCGGGCCUGCAGUGGGUACGGGCAGACUAGAGUGCGGUAGGGGAGAUUGGAAUUCCUGGUGUAGCGGUGGAAUGCGCAGAUAUCAGGAGGAACACCGAUGGCGAAGGCAGAUCUCUGGGCCGUAACUGACGCUGAGGAGCGAAAGCGUGGGGAGCGAACAGGAUUAGAUACCCUAGUAGUCC
rnacentral:rRNA from 1 species